ensembl:lncRNA
CCUCUCUACUAUUCUUUCCUGGGAAAUCCCAUGGACAGAGGAGCCUGACGGGCUGCAGUCCAUGGGGUUGCAGAAGAGUUGGACACGACGAAGCGACAAAACACGAGCUAAUAAAAAUGGCAGCACUGUUUAACACGUGUUCUGUGGUUUAGACAUUCAUUACUACAAGCAAGUUUGGUGACUUACCUUGAAUAAGACCUGAAGUUUUGCUUGGUUACUGUUGGCCUGAGCUGGACUGGAACCUGAGCUACUUCUCAGGUUGUCUGAAAAGAUCCAAACGUCCUGAAGAAGGAUUUGGGCCUACCACCUGGAGACGUGGCAGCCCAGGGCACUCUGGGCACCAGCUGUGUGUUCUCCUCCCCCGACCCUUACCCUCAGGCGAUGGGACCUACCAGAGAGGGUUUGGUCAUCAGUGAUCCCCCAGAAGCAAGGUGCCAAGCCCCUCUUUUUCUCUGCACGGUGCCCCCCGCCACCAGCAGAUGGAUGACAAAGUACGCUUGAAAACCAACAACCUUCAGUCCCCAAGAAAACUCUUGAGUCCCUUGGACUGCAAGGAGAUCCAACCAGUCCAUCCUAAAGGAGAUCAGUCCUG